rnacentral:rRNA from 1 species
GUACACGCUGUGACUAGCAUAUCAAUAAGCGGAGGAAAAGAGACUAACAAGGAUUCCCUUAGUAACGGCGAGUGAAGCGGGAAGAGCUCAAAUUUGAAAUCUUCAAGGUUUUACCUUGACGAAUUGUAGUUUAAAGAAGUGUUUUCUGCUGAAGUUUUGGUAAAAGUUCUUUGGAAUAGGACAUCAUAGAGGGUGAGAAUCCCGUAUUUGACCAUUAUUUUCAGCUUUGUGAUACACUUUCAAAGAGUCGGAUUGUUUGGGAAUGCAGUCCCAAAACUGGGAUGGUAAAUUUCAUCUAAAGCUAAAUAUUGGCGAGAGACCGAUAGCGAACAAGUACCGUGAGGGAAAGAUGAAAAGAACUUUGAAAAGAGAGUUAAACAGUACGUGAAAUUGUCAAAAGGGAAGCGUUUGACACCAGUGUUGUUUUCUCGAAAAUCAAUUAAAAAUGGCUCGAUUUUGUAUUGCUUGAGACCUUAAAAGCUCACUGUACAUUUUUUCGUGUCUUUUUUAAUGCACUUUUCGUUUAACAAGUCAACAUCAGUUUCUUUUGUUGUAAAAGGGUCAUUGGAAGGUGGCUUUCUUUUCGGAGAAAGUGUUUAUAGCCUUUGGCCUCUGCAAUCGGAAGAGACUGAGGUCUGCAGCGUAGACUCUUCGGGGUUAGAUACAUUUGUGCUAAGUUAUAGCUUUUUAUAGACAACUUGUUGACUAUAAUUAGUCUUGUAGCUUACUCGCUUAUGCUAUUUUACCUACGCUUAGGAUGUUGAGUAGCGACAUACGCAC